GACCAUCCUCCAAGGCUAAAUACUCCUGACUGACCGAUAGUGAACCAGUACCGUGAGGGAAAGGCGAAAAGAACCCCUGUGAGGGGAGUGAAAUAGAUCCUGAAACCGCAUGCAUACAAGCAGUGGGAGCACCUUCGUGGUGUGACUGCGUACCUUUUGUAUAAUGGGUCAGCGACUUAUAUUCAGUAGCGAGGUUAACCGUAUAGGGGAGCCGUAGAGAAAUCGAGUCUUAAUAGGGCGUUUAGUUGCUGGGUAUAGACCCGAAACCAGGCGAUCUAUCCAUGAGCAGGUUGAAGGUUGGGUAACACUAACUGGAGGACCGAACCCACUGUCGUUGAAAAGCCAGGGGAUGACUUGUGGAUAGGGGUGAAAGGCUAAUCAAGCCUGGUGAUAGCUGGUUCUCCCCGAAAGCUAUUUAGGUAGCGCCUCGGACGAAUACCAUAGGGGGUAGAGCACUGUUUCGGCUAGGGGGUCAUCCCGACUUACCAAACCGAUGCAAACUCCGAAUACCUAUGAGUACUAUCCGGGAGACAGACUGCGGGUGCUAACGUCCGUAGUCAAGAGGAAAACAAUCCAGACCGCCAGCUAAGGCCCCAAAAUCAUAGUUAAGUGGGAAACGAUGUGGGAAGGCAUAGACAGCUAGGAGGUUGGCUUAGAAGCAGCCACCCUUUAAAGAAAGCGUAAUAGCUCACUAGUCGAGUCGGCCUGCGCGGAAGAUGUAACGGGGCUAAAACUAUGUGCCGAAGCUGCGGAUGUAUACUUUGUAUACGUGGUAGGGGAGCGUUCUGUAAGCCGAUGAAGGUGUGUUGAGAAGCAUGCUGGAGGUAUCAGAAGUGCGAAUGCUGACGUGAGUAACGACAAAACGGGUGAAAAACCCGUUCGCCGAAAGACCAAGGGUUCCAGUCCAACGUUAAUCGGGGCUGGGUGAGUCGACCCCUAAGGCGAGGCCGAAAGGCGUAGUCGAUGGGAAAAUGGUUAAUAUUCCAUUACUUCUGUGUAAUGCGAUGAGAGGACGGAGAAGGCUAAAUCAGCCUGGCGUUGGUUGUCCAGGUGAAAGGAUGUAGGCAUGUAUCUUAGGCAAAUCCGGGGUACUCUAUGCUGAGAUCUGAUAGCAAGCUGUACUUGUACAGCGAAGUGGUUGAUGCCAUGCUUCCAGGAAAAGUCUCUAAGCUUCAGUUACACAGGAAUCGUACCCGAAACCGACACAGGUGGUCAGGUCGAGUAGACCAAGGCGCUUGAGAGAACUCUGCUGAAGGAACUAGGCAAAAUGGUACCGUAACUUCGGGAGAAGGUACGCUGUUGUUGGUGAUGGAACUCGCUUCCUGAGCUGACGACAGCCGCAGAAACCAGGCCGCUGCAACUGUUUAUUAAAAACAUAGCACUCUGCAAACACGAAAGUGGACGUAUAGGGUGUGAUGCCUGCCCGGUGCUGGAAGGUUAAUUGAUGGGGUUAGCGUAAGCGAAGCUCUUGAUCGAAGCCCCAGUAAACGGCGGCCGUAACUAUAACGGUCCUAAGGUAGCGAAAUUCCUUGUCGGGUAAGUUCCGACCUGCACGAAUGGCAUAAUGAUGGCGGCGCUGUCUCCAGCAGAGGCUCAGUGAAAUCGAAAUCGCUGUGAAGAUGCAGUGUACCCGCGGCUAGACGGAAAGACCCCGUGAACCUUUACUGCAGCUUGACACUGAACUUUGACCUUACUUGUGUAGGAUAGGUGGGAGGCUUUGAAGCUGGAACGCUAGUUCCAGUGGAGCCGUCCUUGAAAUACCACCCUGGUAAUGUUGAGGUUCUAACUCUGUCCCGUGAUCCGGGACGAGGACCGUGUCUGGUGGGUAGUUUGACUGGGGCGGUCUCCUCCUAAAGAGUAACGGAGGAGUACGAAGGUGCGCUCAGCGUGGUCGGAAAUCACGCGUAGAGUAUAAAGGCAAAAGCGCGCUUAACUGCGAGACCCACAAGUCGAGCAGGUACGAAAGUAGGUCUUAGUGAUCCGGUGGUUCUGUAUGGAAGGGCCAUCGCUCAACGGAUAAAAGGUACUCUGGGGAUAACAGGCUGAUACCGCCCAAGAGUUCAUAUCGACGGCGGUGUUUGGCACCUCGAUGUCGGCUCAUCUCAUCCUGGGGCUGAAGCAGGUCCCAAGGGUAUGGCUGUUCGCCAUUUAAAGAGGUACGCGAGCUGGGUUUAGAACGUCGUGAGACAGUUCGGUCCCUAUCUACCGUGGGCGCUGGAAAUUUGAGAGGAUCUGCUCCUAGUACGAGAGGACCAGAGUGGACGAACCUCUGGUGUACCGGUUGUGACGCCAGUCGCAUCGCCGGGUAGCUAUGUUCGGAAGGGAUAACCGCUGAAAGCAUCUAAGCGGGAAGCCUACCUCAAGAUAAGAUUUCCCUAGGACUUUAUGUCCUCUAAAGAGCCGUUCGAGACUAGGACGUUGAUAGGUUGGAUGUGGAAGCAUAGUGAUAUGUGAAGCUGACCAAUACUAAUUGCUCGUGAGGCUUGACUAUACAACACCCAAGCAGUUG
rnacentral:rRNA from 1 species